rnacentral:siRNA from 1 species
ACAUGCUGUGGUUUCGGGCCUGGG